UCAAACAGGGUUUAUGAUGUUUUGGUAUUUUUUUUUGGCUGAAGCAAUUGGGGUGAAGUGACUUGCCCAGGGCCACACAGCUAGGAGAUAUUAAGUGUCUGAGACUAUAUUUGAACUCAGGUCCUCCUGACUUCAGGGCUGGGGCUCUAUCCAGAGCACCACCUAGCUGUCCCAAGAUGCUUAAUUUCUAAAAAAGAAAUUGUAACCACCUUUUUUUCAGCUCUAGUUUUACUUUUCCCCCUUAUGUCUAAUUGUGUCCAAUUACUUUAGAGAACUGAGGAAUAUUAAUGAUUAAUAGUCUUUCAGAGAAACACAAGCUUGUAAUACAUCAUUAGGAGCCAGAGAUCAGAGCUCUUGAAUUAGAAGGAGAAGACAUGGAAGAAUAUAUUAGUGCUCCAUACAAUUAAUUUAUAUCAGUCAAAAAUCAACUCCUUUUAGAAUUAGAAUGCCUGCUCUGCAAUGAAAACGUAUUUGCAGGAAAGUUGCACAGCUCUUUACAUGCUUCCUUACGAAGUAUGAGAGAUGAACUAAUAUGCAUUAAACAAUUGACUAGAAACCCAUCUUUGUUCUACUUUUGGAGUGGGGGGUGGGGAAGAUAGACAUUCACAAUAAGGAAGGCAGAAUUAUGAACAGGUACUGAGUAUCGGGUUAAGGAAGGCAAUUGAGAUGUAAAAGAUUGGUUGUGUAGUGGGAUGAACCACCUGACCUUUAUUUGAGUUGAUCUAACUCAAUCAUCUCUAUUUUAGAACUGAUCUGAUCUGCUAUUUCAAGGCAACAAGGUUGAAGAAACACAGACCAUUUGCUUUUUUACAGGUACACAGCACUCCUCCAUUUUCAGAACAGGAACAGAAAUAUUUGAAUGAAUGAAGCUUUCUUUGCAUCUGAUCAGUGCUAAGGGAGAUAUUAAAUUUAUUCCCCAAAAAAAUUAUUUGAAGUGUAAGGGAAGAACCAAUCAGAAAUCCACUAAAAAAUUCCAAUAACAGAUACAACAAUUCCCAAGAGGCUUCUUCUUUGGAGAACAUCAGACCCAAGAAAAGAAUGGCAUCUUUGCUUUUUUUAUGACAAUGAUUGCAACACAACUAAAAUUAUCCACAAGAGCUUUCAUUUUAUCAUUCAGUCCAUUCUGACUCUUCUUGUGGACUCAGGGAUAAAUAGCAUUAGAUAAUGGCUGGCAUUUUAUGAAUUAUAGAGCUGCUUGAAGAAUAAAAAGGAAAUGUUUUCUUAUGAAUAGUCAUAGUCAU